CAAAAGCCCAACUGGGGGCAGAGCAGACAGUCACAGCUGGUUUUAGCGCGAAGAAUUUCUCGGCGCUUUCUGCAUUGCUUUUGAACAACUUUGCCUUUUGGUUGCAAAUGGAGACCGUUAUCAAAGCCAGCUAGAUCGGGUUACAGGCGGUCCUGUCUUCUGUUCACAAUGGCACUUCUGUGCCUUGAAGCCUCCGUUCAUGUUUAAAUGGACAUGAAGGAAGUUCCUUUCUGAAACCACAGAAGAAGACAACCCAAAGUCCCGCUCCGUGUUUCUGCUGGUCUUCUUUUGAAGAACAGGCAAGAUGAGUCUACAUCUCAGUCAUCUGUGAGGCUGACAAGCCCGGGCUGACAAGCCCACUAACAAGUCUGAGGUCGGACCACCACUCGGCCCUCGGGUUCAGAGAACAAGCAUAGAAAAAGCAAUGGUGCAGGACAGGUAUUUUUGAGGCGUAAAUAAGUCAUAUAUAGACGUAUUUUAUCCCCUCUCACCAUUUUUUUACAUACAUGAAAGCUACUUUACACCCAG